GAUGAACGCUGGCGGCGUGCCUAAUACAUGCAAGUCGAGCGAAUGGAUUAAGAGCUUGCUCUUAUGAAGUUAGCGGCGGACGGGUGAGUAACACGUGGGUAACCUGCCCAUAAGACUGGGAUAACUCCGGGAAACCGGGGCUAAUACCGGAUAACAUUUUGAACCGCAUGGUUCGAAAUUGAAAGGCCGCUUCGGCUGUCAGUUAUGGAUGGACACGCGUCGCAUUAGCGAGUUGGUGAGGUAACGGCUCACCAAGGCAACGAUGCGUAGCCUACCUGAGAGGGUGAUCGGCCACACUGGUACUGAGACACGGCCCAGACUCCUACAGGAGGCAGCAGGAGGGAAUCUUCCGCAAUGGACGAAAGUCUGACGGAGCAACGCCGCGUGAGUGAUGAAGUCUUUCGGGUCGUAAAACUCUGUUGUUAGGGAAGAACAAGUGCGAGUUGAAUAAGCUGGCACCUUGACGGUACCUAACCAGAAAGCCACGGCUAACUACGUGCCAGCCGCCGCCGUAA
rnacentral:rRNA from 1 species